rnacentral:lncRNA from 9 species
CCAGGUGUUUUGUAGAAGUCUAAACAGUCAGUCAGUGGGUAUGAGUCAUCUGACUGUGGUCAGAUUAGAAAUUCCUAAAACAUGAUAUAGGAGCCCAGCAUCUGAGACAGGGAAAAUGAAGAGGGGCAGCCCUCUAUGGCUUCUGCCAACACCUCCACUCCUUGGAAGCCUAAUAUUCCUUCUUAAGUUUUGGACAGUUGCUCAGGAGUUGGGAGCCCAGAAGAAGGGAACCCCCUGGUGUUUUCUACUUUGCGGAGCUCUCCAGAAGACUGACUGCAGAAUGGCCACAAUCAGGUCAACUCAUCAACUGGGGAACAUAGUGCUGGCUUUGGCAUUUCGAGGGGGUUAGAAAGAUACCGCAAAGAUCUAGAAUGGCAGUGAGCUCUUAAAGUGGUUGUGAAGAUACAAGAAAUUGCCAGAUAGUUCGCACAGCGCUUCAGAUAAGGACAGAGCUCCCUCCUUUGGUGGAGCUAGUAAUGAAGAUCCUGUCAGGACAAAUGAAUCCAGAGCACAAGCAGUUCCCUGACGGAAAAUUGAAGAUUGUUGCUAUAAGAAGAGGAAAUGGAUGCUGGAGGAGGCACACAAUCAAAAUGUCAAAAUAAUAAUCUAGGGCCAUCUCUCUGGGCUGUUUUUUAUUCUAACAGAAACAUGCUGUAAAGGUAAGUGGCUUAUUUGAGUGACAGGAGAAGGGGUGAAUGGAAUCCCAUACUGCACUUGAAAGAUUGGAAAGAGAUCCUGGUUAGAAGCAAUCACUGGUGGAGUUGAAAGGGAAGCCAAAGAUCUUAGAAGAAAGGAUAUGUUUAACCAUUAAACUCCCCUAGAUUGGAAAUGUGACCCUAGCAGUUUGUACAAACAGGGGUCCCCUGAGCCAAGGCAAGAAGAAGCUGAAGAAGACAGAGAAGGAAAAAAAAAGCCCAUAAUUGGCCCUUAUCAUUCGUUUGGUUGCCCUGUUCAUCCCAGAGUCUAUUCCCUUACAGUUUUUCAUCACUUAGAGGGUUACCCCUGCUCUUCACUUUGCCAGUCCUUUUCUCUCUUCUGUAUCACCAAGAAUCAGUCCCCCCCGCCCAAAAAAAAAAAAAAAAAAAAAAAGAAAAAAAAA